rnacentral:rRNA from 1 species
AUAACAAAUUAUAAAUUAAUUUUAUUCCUUUUGCAUAAGGAUUAAUUGAAAAUAAGAAAACUUUCUAUCAAAGAAAAACACCCAAUUAAAGCAAUAAAACCUAUAUAUUAAAUAGAUUAUAAAUAUAGCUUUAAGUCAUAUGCAAUUACGGUGGUUGAUAACUUUUUAAUCUGCCUAAUUUAAGGAUAAUCUUAUUCUAAAUUUGUUGAUUAUUAAUGAUGAAUUAAAUUUUAGGACCAGAAGUAGCCAGACCAUUAAUUUGUAACAAAAUAUUAUAAAAUGUGUACUACUAUCAUUUAAAUUUUUAAUUUAAAAAAACAUUUAUUUAAAAAAAGAAUAAUUACGUUAGUAAGAUUACAUAAAAUUUAAAUUAAAAUUCAGCCCGGAAUAUACUACUGUUUAAUAAAAACAUUGCAAUAUCUAAUAUAUUGUAAAUCUCCUGCCCAAUGAUAGAUUAAAUGGCCGCAGUAACCUGACUGUGCAAAGGUAGCAUAAUCAUUUGUUUAUUAAUUUUAAACCAGAAUGAAAGGAAUAAAGUGUAUUGACUGUUAAUUGAAGUUUAGCAUAAAUCUUUACCUGAGUGCAAAAACUUAGAAUAAAAAUACAAACGAGAAGACCCUGGGAAUUUUAAUAUUUUUAUUGGGACAAUAUAAAACCGUAUCUCUAAAUAACAAAUAACACUAAUUAAAAAAAAUUACCCCAGGGAUAACAGCACAAUAGUCACCAAGAGAUCUCAUCCAAGUGACUGAUUAUGACCUCGAUGUUGAAUCAUUUACAUAUAUAGUUUGCAGAAGAACUUUAUUCUCGUCUGUUCGACGAUAAAGUAUUACGUGAUUUGAGUUUAAACCGUUGCAAAACAGGUUGGAUUCUCUUUUAUUUUUUUAUACUAAAUCCAAGCUUAGUACGAAAGGACCAGUACAGAAAAUGAGACUGACUAUGAUAAAAUUAUUCCGCAUGCUUACUUAUACCCUGCUAAUUUUUAUGGCAUACAUUUUAUUGCGUGAAUAUCUA